rnacentral:lncRNA from 13 species
GGAGGGCGUCCAAGUGGUGUGGAUGUGUGGCCCUGCAGACUGAGCUUGCCGCCCUGAAGAAGAGGACACUGCUGCCCCUCCUCUGCACACACAUGCCCUGCCCUCAGCUCUGUGGGCUGGGGUGGAGAAGGGGCAUCCCCUCUCGCGUAUUCCACUGAGCAGGAAGCCAAGCAAAGAGGAGUGGAGGGUGCUCAGGACCCAGAGUCAAGCAGGUGCACACUCCUUUGAAGUCAGGGGUGACCCUAU